rfam:Glossina fuscipes fuscipes unplaced genomic scaffold Scaffold653, whole genome shotgun sequence.
AAGUUCCACCAUCGGAAGCCUGCUAACGACAACCGGCCUCCGCGAAGUAAUAUCUAAGGGUGGUCCCGCGGGGGAGAGUGGUGGAAGAAGCGUGUGGAGUGGUGGUUUUUUCGUACGUAGGCGCCAUGGAUGGUGAUUCGUGCAUGCUACCAUUAAGAAUCUUUUGAAGAUUUUCUACCUCCUGCUC